GAUGAACGCUGGCGGCGUGCCUAAUACAUGCAAGUCGAGCGAACGGACGAGAAGCUUGCUUCUCUGAUGUUAGCGGCGGACGGGUGAGUAACACGUGGAUAACCUACCUAUAAGACUGGGAUAACUUCGGGAAACCGUAGCUAAUACCGGAUAAUAUUUUGAACCGCAUGGUUCAAAAGUGAAAGACGGUCUUGCUGUCACUUAUAGAUGGAUCCGCGCUGCAUUAGCUAGUUGGUAAGGUAACGGCUUACCAAGGCAACGAUGCAUAGCCGACCUGAGAGGGUGAUCGGCCACACUGGAACUGAGACACGGUCCAGACUCCUACGGGAGGCAGCAGUAGGGAAUCUUCCGCAAUGGGCGAAAGCCUGACGGAGCAACGCCGCGUGAGUGAUGAAGGUCUUCGGAUCGUAAAACUCUGUUAUUAGGGAAGAACAUAUGUGUGAGUAACUGUGCACAUCUUGACGGUACCUAAUCAGAAAGCCACGGCUAACUACGUGCCAGCAGCCGCGGUAAUACGUAGGUGGCAAGCGUUAUCCGGAAUUAUUGGGCGUAAAGCGCGCGUAGGCGGUUUUUUAAGUCUGAUGUGAAAGCCCACGGCUCAACCGUGGAGGGUCAUUGGAAACUGGAAAACUUGAGUGCAGAAGAGGAAAGUGGAAUUCCAUGUGUAGCGGUGAAAUGCGCAGAGAUAUGGAGGAACACCAGUGGCGAAGGCGACUUUCUGGUCUGUAACUGACGCUGAUGUGCGAAAGCGUGGGGAUCAAACAGGAUUAGAUACCCUGGUAGUCCACGCCGUAAACGAUGAGUGCUAAGUGUUAGGGGGUUUCCGCCCCUUAGUGCUGCAGCUAACGCAUUAAGCACUCCGCCUGGGGAGUACGACCGCAAGGUUGAAACUCAAAGGAAUUGACGGGGACCCGCACAAGCGGUGGAGCAUGUGGUUUAAUUCGAAGCAACGCGAAGAACCUUACCAAAUCUUGACAUCCUUUGACAACUCUAGAGAUAGAGCCUUCCCCUUCGGGGGACAAAGUGACAGGUGGUGCAUGGUUGUCGUCAGCUCGUGUCGUGAGAUGUUGGGUUAAGUCCCGCAACGAGCGCAACCCUUAAGCUUAGUUGCCAUCAUUAAGUUGGGCACUCUAAGUUGACUGCCGGUGACAAACCGGAGGAAGGUGGGGAUGACGUCAAAUCAUCAUGCCCCUUAUGAUUUGGGCUACACACGUGCUACAAUGGACAAUACAAAGGGCAGCGAAACCGCGAGGUCAAGCAAAUCCCAUAAAGUUGUUCUCAGUUCGGAUUGUAGUCUGCAACUCGACUACAUGAAGCUGGAAUCGCUAGUAAUCGUAGAUCAGCAUGCUACGGUGAAUACGUUCCCGGGUCU
rnacentral:rRNA from 1 species